AUGCUUGCUUAGGUAGCACAUAUACUAAAAUUGAAAUGAUACAAAGAUUAGCAUGGCUCCUACCCAAGAAUGACAUGCAAAUCCAUGAAGUGUCCUGUGUUUAA
rnacentral:snRNA from 1 species